UACGUAGGGGGCAAGCGUUGUCUGGAUUUAUUGGGCGUAAAGAGCGUGUAGGCGGCCAGACAGGUCCGUUGUGAAAACUCGAGGCUCAACCUCGAGACGUCGACGGAAACCGUCUGGCUAGAGUCCGGAAGAGGAGUGUGGAAUUCCUGGUGUAGCGGUGAAAUGCGCAGAUAUCAGGAAGAACACCUAUGGCGAAGGCAGCACUCUGGGACGGUACUGACGCUGAGACGCGAAAGCGUGGGGAGCGAACAGG
rnacentral:rRNA from 1 species